rnacentral:lncRNA from 11 species
UAUAUCUUGCCUUUCUUCCAGAAGAGGAUAUGGGAUGAUAUGAGAAAAGAUUCAGUUUGCCUCCUUG